rnacentral:rRNA from 1 species
GACGAACGCUGGCGGCGUGCCUAAUACAUGCAAGUCGAACGCAGUGGGGACGGGUGAGUAACACGUGGGUAACCUCCCAUCAGAGGGGAUAACACUUGGAAACAGGUGCUAAACCGAUAUUGAUGGAUGGACCCGCGGUGCAUUAGCUAGUUGGGGGGGUAACGGCUCACCUAGGCCACGAUGCCUAGCGGAGCUGAGAGGGUGAUCAGCCACACUGGAACUGAGACACGGCCCAGACUCAUACGGGAGGCAGCAGUAGGGAAUAUUGGGCAAUGGGCGAAAGCCUGAUGCAGCAAUGCAGCGUGUGUGAAGAAGGUCUUAGGGUCGUAAAGUUCUUUCAGCAGAGAGGCGUUACCCGACCAGGAAGCAACGGCUAACUACGUGCCAGCAGCCGCGGUAAUUC